rnacentral:SRP_RNA from 1 species
GCCAGCUGUGGUGGCACAUGCCUGUAGUCCCAGCUACUUAGGAGGCUGAGGCAGGAGGAUCACUUGAGCCCAGGAGUUCUGGGCUGUAGUGCCACUAUGCCAAUUGGGUGUCUGCACUAAGUUUGACAUCAAUAUGGUGACCUCCCAGGAGUGGGGGACCACAAGGUUGCCUAAGGAGGGGUGAACUGGCCCAGGUCAGAAACAGAGCAGGUCAAAGCUCCCGUGCUGAUCAGUAGUGGGAUCGCGCCUGUGAAUAGUCACUGUACUCCAGCCUGGGCAACACAGCGAGACCCUGUCUCU